rnacentral:rRNA from 1 species
GAUCAACGCUGGCGGCGUGCUUAACACAUGCAAGUCGAACGAAGUUUUUCCUUCGGGAGAAACUUAGUGGCGGACGGGUGAGUAACGCGUGGGUAACCUGCCCUGUACAGGGGGACAACAGCUGGAAACGGCUGCUAAUACCGCAUAAGCACUUAGCACUGCAUGGUGCAUAGGGAAAAGGAGCAAUCCGGUACAGGAUGGACCCGCGUCUGAUUAGCCAGUUGGCAGGGUAACGGCCUACCAAAGCGACGAUCAGUAGCCGAUCUGAGAGGAUGUACGGCCACAUUUGGACUGAGACACGGCCCAGACUCCUACGGGAGGGAGCAGUGGGGAAUAUUGCACAAUGGAGGAAACUCUGAUGCAGCGACGCCGCGUGAGUGAAGAAGUAGUUCGGUAUGUAAAGCUCUAUCAGCAGGGAAGAAAAUGACGGUACCUGACUAAGAAGCACCGGCUAAAUACGUG